rnacentral:lncRNA from 1 species
CUCCAGAGCGGGUGCUCCAGCAGUUCGGUGCUGGGCCGGGCGCUGUGCACAGCAGCAGCAGUUGGGUGUGCACAGCAGCAAUUCGGUGUGCACAGCAGCAGUUGGGUGUGCACAGCAGCAGUUCGGUGUGCACAGCAGCAGCAGUUGGGUGUGCACAGCAGCAGUUGGGUGCGCAUAGCAGCAGUUCGGUGUGCACAGCAGCAGCAGUUGGGUGUGCACAGCAGCAGUUGGGUGUGCACAGCAGCAGUUGGGUGUGCACAGCAGCAAUUCGGUGUGCACAGCAGCAGUUGGGUGUGCACAGCAGCAGCAGUUGGGUGUGCACAGCAGCAGUUGGGUGUGCACAGCAGCAGCAGUUGGGUGUGCACAGCAGCAGCAGUUGGGUGUGCACAGCAGCAGUUGGGUGUGCACAGCAGCAGUUGGGUGUGCACAGCAGUUCGGUGUGCACAGCAGCAGCAGUUGGGUGUGCACAGCAGCAGUUGGGUGUGCACAGCAGCAGCUGGGUGUGCACAGCAGCAGCUGAGUGUGCACAGCAGCAGUUGGGUGUGCACAGCAGCAGUUCGGUGUGCACAGCAGCAGUUGGGUGUGCACAGCAGCAGUCCGGCCUCCACUCCAGCAGCCCGGCGCCGGGCCGGCGCUGUCCGCAGCAGCAGUUCGGUGUGCACAGCAGCAGUUCGGUGUGCACAGCAGCAGUUCGGUGUGCACAGCAGCAGUUCGGUGUGCACAGCAGCAGUUCGGUGUGCACAGCAGCAGUUCGGUGUGCACAGCAGCAGUAGUUCGGUUGCACAGCAGCAGUCCGGCCUCCACUCCAGCAGCCCGGCGCCGGGCCGGCGCUGUCCGCAGCAGUUGUUCGGUGUGCACAGCAGCAGUUCGGUGUGCACAGCAGCAGCAGUUCGGUGUGCACAGCAGCAGUUCGGUAUCCGCAGCAGCAGUUCGGUGUGCACAGCAGCAGUCCGGUCCCCGCUCCAGCAGCCCGGUGCCGGGCCGGCGCUGUCGGGCCGGGCGGGCCCAGCGCGGCCCGCGGGGACAGGAGGUGGCGCCGCCGGCCCGCGCCUGCCCGGGGAGAGCCGGGCCCGGCCUGAGGGCGCCGCCGCGCUCGGGGUUUGGCGUCCCGGUGCUCCCUUGUGUCACGGCUGCUGCGGUAGGCUCCGUUUGCCUCUCGGCUCGGGGACCGUGCUCUGGUUUGCUGAUAGUUUGUGUUUGAUAGGUACAUGA